rnacentral:tRNA from 1 species
AAAGUCUUAGCUUAAUUAAAGUACCUGGGUUGCAUUCAGGGGAUGCAGUAAGAGUUCUGCAGAUUUUAA